ACAGAGGUGGCAAGCGUUGUUCGGAAUUACUGGGCGUAAAGGGCGCGUAGGCGGCCUUCUUAGUCAGACGUGAAAUCCCUAGGCUUAACUUAGGAACUGCGUCUGAUACUGGAAGGCUGGAGUUCGGGAGAGGAAUGUGGAAUUCCAGGUGUAGCGGUGAAAUGCGUAGAUAUCUGGAGGAACACCGGUGGCGAAGGCGGUCUGCUGGGCUGUGGCUGACGCUGAGGCGCGACAGCGUGGGGAGCAAACA
rnacentral:rRNA from 1 species